CCUACGGGAGACAGCAGUGAGGAAUAUUGGUCAAUGGCCGCAGGGCUGAACCAGCCAAGUCGCGUGAGGGAUGACGGUCCUAUGGAUUGUAAACCUCUUUUGUCAGGGAGCAAAGGGCGCCACGUGUGGCGUUUUGCGAGUACCUGAAGAAAAAGCAUCGGCUAACUCCGUGCCAGCAGCCGCGGUAAUACGGAGGAUGCGAGCGUUAUCCGGAUUUAUUGGGUUUAAAGGGUGCGCAGGCGGAAUGUCAAGUCAGCGGUAAAAUUUCGGGGCUCAACCCCGUAGUGCCGUUGAAACUGGCGGUCUUGAGUGAGCGAAGAGUAUGCGGAAUGUGUGGUGUAGCGGUGAAAUGCAUAGAUAUCACGCAGAACUCCGAUUGCGAAGGCAGCAUACCGGCGCUCAACUGACGCUCAUGCACGAAAGCGUGGGUAUCGAACAGGAUUAGAUACCCGAGUAGUC
rnacentral:rRNA from 1 species